AGAACCACAUAGUUCACUAGUCCAGCAGUCCAGCGCAUUAAAAAUUACUCUGUUAUCAAUGUUGUUCAAUGGCAGCCUCUACAUUCUUAUUCUCCUUAAAUUCCACCCUCAAUUAUGUUCUGAUGUAAUAGUACAUCAUGUUCAACAGUGUGUUCGAUUAAACACCAUAUUUUGUUUUUUAAGUGUUCCUAACAUUUCCCUAGAUUUGUCUACUUCAUUAAAUAUACCGUCAUUGGUCCUUAAUUCUGUCCA